rnacentral:rRNA from 1 species
GACGAACGCUGGCGGCGUGCUUAACACAUGCAAGUCGAACGAAGCUUGAUUACGGGUUCUUCGGUAGAGGUAGGAUAUGACUGAGUGGCGGACGGGUGAGUAACGCGUGAGUAACCUGCCCUUCAGAGGGGGAUAGCGUUUGGAAACGAACGGUAAUACCGCAUAAUGUAUUUUGACCGCAUGAUCGAAAUUGCAAAGAUUUAUCGCUGAAGGAUGGACUCGCGUGUGAGUAGGGAGUUGGCGGGGCAAAGGCCUACUGAGCGGACGAUCAGUAGCCGGAGAGCGAGGUUGCGCGGCCACAUCGUGACUGAGACACGGCCCAGACUCCUACGGGAGGGAGCAGAAGGGAAUAUCGCACAAUGGGCGCAAGCCUGAUGCAGCAACGCCUCGUGAAGGAAGACGGUUUGCGGAGAGUAAACUUCUGUUCUUAGUGAAGAAUAAUGACGGUAGCUAAGGAGUAAGCCACGGCUAACUACGUG